rnacentral:rRNA from 1 species
ACUCCACCCAUUGUUUAUGAUACUCAGUGUUGCUUCGGCAGGCCUGGUCUUUGAUUGGCGGAAGCCGUAACACGCCCCCCGGAGAGCGCCUGCCGACGCCCCAACUUCAAAAUUCUUAACUAAACAUGUCUUUGUCUAAGUAAAGUCUUUAAUAAAAGCAAAACUUUCAACAACGGAUCUCUUGUGUCUCUGGCAUCGAUGAAGAACGCAGCGAAAUGCGAUAAGUAAUGCGAAUUGCAGAAUUCUCGUGAGUCAUCGAAUCUUUGAACGCACAUUGCGCCCUUUGGUAUUCCGAAGGGCAUGCCUGUUCGAGCGUCAUUUUCACCCCUCAAGCCCCCGGCUUGGUGUUGGACGGUUUGGUCCCGGGACCCCCCUGGACCCCUCCCAAAGACAAUGACGGCGGGCUGUCGCACCCCCGGUACACUGAGCAUCUUCACGGAGCACGUACCGGUCUUCAGGGACGACGGCACCCGGUCUCACACCUAUAUCUUUCAAGGUUGACCUCGGAUCAGGUAGGAAUACCCGCUGAACUUAAGCAUAU